CCUACGGGAUGCAGCAGUGGGGAAUAUUGCACAAUGGGCGCAAGCCUGAUGCAGCCAUGCCGCGUGUGUGAAGAAGGCCUUCGGGUUGUAAAGCACUUUCAGCGAGGAGGAAGGUGGUGAACUUAAUACGUUCAUCAAUUGACGUUACUCGUAGAAGAAGCACCGGCUAACUCCGUGCCAGCAGCCGCGGUAAUACGGAGGGUGCAAGCGUUAAUCGGAAUUACUGGGCGUAAAGCGCACGCAGGCGGUUUGUUAAGUCAGAUGUGAAAUCCCCGGGCUCAACCUGGGAACUGCAUUUGAAACUGGCAAGCUAGAGUCUCGUAGAGGGGGGUAGAAUUCCAGGUGUAGCGGUGAAAUGCGUAGAGAUCUGGAGGAAUACCGGUGGCGAAGGCGGCCCCCUGGACGAAGACUGACGCUCAGGUGCGAAAGCGUGGGGAGCGAACAGGAUUAGAUACCCCUGUAGUC
rnacentral:rRNA from 1 species